rnacentral:rRNA from 1 species
CCUACGGGUGGCUGCAGUGGGGAAUAUUGGGCAAUGGAGGAAACUCUGACCCAGCCAUGCCGCGUGCGGGACGAAGGCGCACAGCGUUGUAAACCGCUUUUCUCCGGGGAUAAGGUUACCUUAGGGGCAAAUUGAAGGUACUGGAGGAAUCAGCACCGGCAAACUACGUGCCAGCAGCCGCGGUAAUACGUAGGGUGCGAGCGUUGUCCGGAUUUACUGGGUUUAAAGGGUGCGUAGGCGGGCUGUUAAGUCUGGGAUGAAAUUAUCACGCUCAA